ensembl:lncRNA
GGUGAAAGCAGGAGCAUCAUGAACAGGGGGUCCCCUUCUCUUCCAUCAUCACACUGGUGGGACAGCUCCGUCUGCUCGGACAAGGCCGGACUGGGGACAACCUAUAGACAGAGGGAGAGAGGAAAAGAAAAUCGGGGACUGUAUAGGACCUUUUGCGAAAGUGAUGCUCUAAGCAGAUACACACAGACAGACCAUCCAUUACUUUCAAGAACCCAAAUCUGAGGAGUGAUUCGUGCUUUGCUUGUGCUGCAUGAUCGAUUCCAAAGAAACUACAUCUGCACUCCAAAUAAAUUAUACUAAAAGAACAACAUGGAGGAUUACCAGGUUUCUUCUGAGUUAAGCUACACUAAGUUUAAGAUCUACUGUAUCCUGACA